ACAUUCUUUGGGCAAUGAAAACGUGUGUGUCACUUCUGGGCAGAGGCGUGUUAGGGUCGUGAGACUUCCCGGCACUUUCUCCCCUUGCUGCUCUGAUCCGGGAAGCUUGCGUUGAUACAGAAGUGAAAUGUGGAGCUCUCAUAUGCAGGACAACCUUCCCGAUAAGAAACUGAGGCACAAAGGUGUUAAGUAACUUUCCCAGGAGCACACAGUUGACGGCUGGUGGAGCUGAUUUUCCACCUCUGGCGUUCGACUUCAGAACCUGCGCACUAAUGCUUACACAACGGUUUCCGGUUUGCACAGCGCAUUUCCACCAGUUAUCUCAUCCGAUUUGCAUACCACACCUAGCAACUCUAAACGGUAGGAUUCGUGUCAGCUCCAUUUCCUAGAUGAGGAAACGACAGAAACAAAUCUCAGCUUCCUGAGGACUUGAACAUCUCAAAGGGUUCUUCCUGGCAAUGACUUCAUUUUUCAGAAACUACAGCCAAGAGCCAGAGAGAGGAAAUAUCUUGCUUAUGGUCCCACAACUAGUGAGUAGAACACCUGAACUCGGUAGAUCUUCAAAGCAAACAGUUCUUUCCUUCCAAGAAAUUAACAUCCAAACGUUCAACUGGGCACUCUGGGAAACCAGAACACCCAGCCACUCGACACUUUAAUUGCUCUAUCCACAGUCUUCUGCUUCCGAGGAUGCCAGUCGGAACGUCUCCUGCGCAUCUCACAGAGGACACAUACUCUGACACCAAGGAGAAAAAAUGAAAGCAACUCCCUGUCCAAGACUCAUAAAGUCAGCGCCUCUGCAUAAAUACACAGGUUUCCCUGAAGCUGGAGACUCACUGAAUGUCAGAGCUCUGGUGUACAGAGAACGGAGAGCUGAGCUGAGCUCAGGUGCCUUCCCGCCCCACCCCCGCGGCGGGGCGGGGCCCCCGCCUCUAGGAGAGGGCAGAGGAGACUGGCUCCUGGCUCAGGUUCCCCUAAGAGUGCUG